AUGUUCGAUUGCAUCCAAAGCAUUGACUUGCUUGCUUACUCUUCCAUUUUAAAUAUAAGUGUUGUUUUUUAUGGCAUUCACUCGUACUACGCUAUGAUUUUUGGACCAGGUUUCAACAUGAAUCCUGUGAACCUUCUGUCCAAAGUCAUCCUAGAUGCUAUGUUUGAGAAAGUCGGCCUUCCAGCGGCCGCCUACUCGGCACGUGCAGUUCAUCUCGGGUGCGUUGAAGUCACAGUCGGCUUCCAUCCAAUUUCCAGUGAACUGGAGCGUCCUGUUAGUCAGACAUAUAUUUCAACCUUUGCUUUCACUGAUCUGGAAGAAGCGCAGAAUCAUGUUGCGCGUAAAGCCAUGGAAUUCAUGGAGAAGGAACACAAUGUGGUCCCAAGUGAUUAUAGCUAUAACAAACUUCAGUCUGCUAGGCUUAACAACGAGUCACUGCGUCAGCGUCUGAAAGAAAAGGACCGCAGUAUCGAAUCAUUGAAAAAGGUCAAUACAUCUCUGGUGCAGCAACUAGAAGAGAAGAACAACAUCUUGACUCUAUUAUGA
rnacentral:rRNA from 1 species